rfam:Brugia pahangi genome assembly, scaffold: BPAG_scaffold0000363
GCAGCGAUGGCCGAGUGGUUAAGGCGUUGGACUUAAGAUCCAAUGGACGCUAAGUCCUCGUGGGUUCAAACCCCACUCGCUGCA